UGGGGAAUCUUCCGCAAUGGGAUUAGACCCCCCAGUAGUCAUGGGGAAUUUUCCGCAAUGGGCGAAAGCCUGACGGAGCAACGCCGCGUGAGGGAAGACGGCUCGUGGGUUGUAAACCUCUUUUCUCAGGGAAGAAGCACUGACGGUACCUGAGGAAUCAGCCAUCGGCUAACUCCGUGCCAGCAGCCGCGGUAAUACGGAGGAUGCAAGCGUUAUCCGGAAUUAUUGGGCGUAAAGCGUCCGUAGGCGGUUUUACAAGUCUGCUGUUAAAGCGUGCAGCUUAACUGCAUAUCGGCAGUGGAAACUGUAAGACUAGAGUGUAGUAGGGGUAGAGGGAAUUCCCAGUGUAGCGGUGAAAUGCGUAGAUAUUGGGAAGAACACCGGUGGCGAAAGCGCUCUACUGGGCUACAACUGACGCUGAUGGACGAAAGCUAGGGGAGCGAAAGGGAUUAGA
rnacentral:rRNA from 1 species